AAAAAAAACUUUGUACGGUUAAAUUCUAGUAAGUAUGAUUCACCUAACUUUUCCUACAUCUAGAACCAACAUAAUGCAGAAAGCGCACACAACAAAAUUAAGAUUGCAUUAUUACCAAAAAACACCAUAUUGGUCAUCCAUAUACUAUAAGCCACCAAAACUGGUCUGGGAAAAAAAAAUCAUAAUAUAAAGUAAUAGAAGGUUUAAGCAAACAGAUCAACUAAUUGAAAAGCGAAUGGUGGACACAUAAUGGCUGGCGUAUUUCAUGGCAAACAACGGAUAACAGGUGCCAAAUACUGGAGAUGGGCUAGUAAAACAUAUUAAUAUUUUUCUUACUUCAGUAUCAAAAAGCAUAAUUUACAUCAAUUUCCAAAAAAUAAUAAAAAAUAUAAAGGACAGCUGUAAAACAUCAUCCACCGAACAACAUCGGUAUAAUGUAAAGGUCAACAAUGUAAUGACAUAAUAUUACCAUCCAUCGAACUAAUAACAUCAGCCAUAAGAUGAAGAUGUCCACAAUCAUGUAAUAUCAACCAUAAAGUAGACAUAUCCAUAAUCACAUAGCAUCAAUCAAAGAAGAAACAUGUCCAAUCAGAAACAGGUCCUGCUAGCUAUAAAAUAAAAUGCACCUUGAGUCUAUAGUGCACCACUAAAGCAGGUCUUCUCGCACUAAACCUGGUUCAAUCUUGGUUCCUAGAUGGGAAAACAUCAGAGGUGUUUUGCCAAAUUAGCACAUGUGAUUUCUACCCUUGCAGAUUCAGGCCAUCUUUUUUUCUGCAGACAUAGCUAAUUCUAGAAUUUUCAUUUGCUUUUGUUGAGCCAUUUAAUAAAAGAAUAUGCACAUUCCCUACAUGGAAAAAGAAAAAAGUUCAUCUAAGUAUUCAACUAAGGAUUGUCAUCCAGCCCUAAACUGCCCGAUUCAAGGCAUUUCGAACCAUUCUAGGCCAGAACUAGGUAGGAUGCACUAUCAAGUCAAGAGAAGACCCGACCUGGCAUGAAUCGACCCGAACCGAGCAAAACCACCUGGUUCUGCUCAAUUCAACGUGUUCGGAUUGUUUCAGGCCAAUCCCACCCUUAAUAAUUGAGAGAAGGCAUUAAGAAGAUCUCUUGUGCCUUCUUAGCCCUCCCACGACCAAUUUUUCAUUUUCCUACAAAAACAAUAAAACAAUGUAUAAGGGACGAUCAACACAAAUUUCAUCUAAAAUCCAACUCUAAGCAAGUAAAUCUCCUCCUUCGCUUCCCUCUCCCAUCUUUUCCUUGAAGCCUUAAAAAAGAAACAAAAAAAAAGAAAAUGAGGAAAAAUUAUUCCAAAAUUUUGUAUCUAUCAUGAUUUCAUGAUAUGUUAUAGAUCUUAAGAAUAACUACAUAGUAUUACAAAAAUCAAAAUUUUUCGUUCAUCGGAUAACUUUUUACAUUAAAAAUAUAUUUUUUAAUUAAAUAAUAAUAAUAAGUAAAUAAUGUUUAAAAAAACUCUGGAAAUUAGUAGCAUGCUUGCUAUCUCAAUUUGAUAGCAAUUAAUUUAAAUUUGGGCAUAAUCAUGGCAAUGGUAACCUAAGCACAAAUUUAAAUAAAUUUGAAAAAUAAGUGGUAAUUAGUGCUUACCCAUGGACUGAAAAAUAUAUGUAACACCUCUAGUAUGAUGCUACACUAGAAUUAAAAGUAAUUUUUUAGAUAUUUCUCUAAAGCAGAAAUUGAAUCUUAGACAUUUCUUCAAAAUAUGAUUUCAGCCAUUAUCUUCCCAAGGAGAGCAUACCUAGACUUCCAAAAACAUGUUCCCAAAAAGAGAAGAAAAGAAGUGGAUCGAAUAGUGAAGAUUUGGAUGGGUUGAAUGUGAUGAGUUGUACAGUAAAGGAAAA